rnacentral:lncRNA from 1 species
GGGCUUCUCGUCCACUGUGGUAAAGGUUGGCUUUCUGAGAUCUGGUUUCCCCUCUUUGUUCUAGAAAAGGAAACUGAGGCAGAGAGGAAAAAUCAAUUAAGACAGUCAUCUGGGACAGAGUCAUCGCUUAGACCCUCCCCCUCACCCCCUCUUGUUUUCAUGGAGAUGGUAGACUGAGGGGUCCAUUCACCCUGGGAUAAGUCCUUGAUGAUAGCAGAGGAGUCUGUGAGGUAUUGCCAAGCCCAGACAGCACCAUGGAGAGACAAGAACAUAUGGCAGUUGUCCCAGGAUGACAGUGUGACCCAGGACACCAAGAACAUGGGACUUGCAGCUCUGAGUUUUUGGACAACAGGACUCCUGUGCACUGGCCCAGCAGAUGGACUGGUCCCUGUCAUGGAGGGCCUUCUCUGAGCUCCAUGGCACCAAUGAUGGUGUGACAUAGCAGGUAAGGGGGGGGGGGGAUGAGGCUCUUCAUCCCUGGCUUGUUUCAGAAUACUUCUUUGUGUUUGU